rnacentral:lncRNA from 1 species
CCUCCCUGGAGUUUUCCGGACACCCAGCGUCCAGCACGCACAGCCCUGCCUGAGGCGCGCCACCGCGGCGCUCCUUCUAAACUAGGAGGCAAAUCCGAGCUUGAAUUCGUACAAUGAUAAACACCGCCCAAUUUGGGCAUGGGCGGGACGCAGGCGGAGACACACGCGGCUGGUGGGCAGGGCACUGAUAGUAAAGAAAAAACAACCCCAGUUCUAGCGGCCGUCUGGAGAGGCGCGUCCCGCUCCACGUGCUGGCAGCAGUUAGCAACCUCUCUGGGAGGUUCUGGCCACAGAACUCCUGCAUGGCGCCCCAACCCGGCUCCGGCGAGGGGUCGGAUCCUGGGUUCCCAGGUUCAGAAGUCUUCAGAUCCCGGAAAAGCAUUCAUCUGUGAAGUCAGUGGGCGCGGGUCUCCCAGAAAUCAUGCUUCCGGAAGGACCGCGGCAGUUCCAACUCGGGGGCCCAAGAACAAAUUGGGUUCAGCGUGGGACGAACCAUUCCCAGCGCCCUGGCAGGAAGCCUGCUCCUGGGGCUGGUCAGGCAACCAGCCGGGACCACAGAGGCCUCACAGACAAAGGCUGGGUGGGGGGAGAGCGGCUGCUCUUGCGCCCCACCCCCAUACGCCCUUCUUCUGUUUCACCGGUAAAUAAAGAAGGCUGACAUUCAAGUGAACCAUAAUCUGCGUCGUGUUCCCGAUUAUCCGCCUCGCUUUUCUAAGUGUGAAGACAGUUAACAGUGUGUGUGUGUGUGUGUGUGUGUGUGUAGAGGUGGAGUGAAUGAACGAUUCUUCCUUAAGUCUGAGAAGAGUAGCGCUAAAAAGAUGCAAGAUCGCUUUACUGACAACCUAAAAUGUUGAGAAUGAUGAGAAUAAGGAUAACAUUAAUAGCUAAUUCUGUCUUGAAUUACUAUGCACUGGCACUCUUCUAAGUGCUUUCCUUGAAUUAAGUCACUCCAUUCUCACAGUAAUCCUAAGAAACAGAACUUUUAAGGAAAUCAUUCCCAUUCUGCAGACCAGGAAACUGAGGCCAGGAAUUUGACUUGCCUCAGGUCUUCAAAAGGAAGUGUUCCAAACACAGGAAAACAGUCACAUUUAUAAUAGCUACUGUGUGUGGAUGCCAAGGACCCUGUGGAAAUUCUGUUGAGAACCCUGGCACCAUCUACGGAAGAUGGGAGGAUGGAUUUGCCCAUUUUACAGAUGAGGAGACUGAGGCCAGGCAGAGAGCACCAGAAAACAAUGAAGGUAGUGAAUAGCACAGGUUGGAAUCCACAUGGUUUCCUCCAAAGGUGGGUUCACUGCGGUCUGACACCCUCAGUUGAGCACAGAAGCUAAGAGGUGUGUCUGGAGUAAUCAAGGUUGGGGGAAGGGGAACCCUCUGGAGAGGAGAGGUCUGUGCUGCCCCUCCCCCAAGAGCUGGGAGAUUUCGGGCAUCCUGAGUAGGAGACCCAGAGUCCUCACUUACACCCUGCCAAAACCGGGGAGACUCUUUCCUCCCUUGCUCUCCUCUCCCAUUUUGAAAGGAUGGGGAGCAGUGUCGUCUGCUUCUCUCAGGGGAAGUGAGCCACGAAGGUAAGGGCUGGCUGGUCAGCUGAUGCUGAUUUAGUCCCGAAGAGCAGGGGCAGUUGGGGCCCGGGCACUGCCUUGCCCAAGCA